rnacentral:rRNA from 1 species
CUCCAAUAGCGUAUAUUAAAGUUGUUGCAGUUAAAAAGCUCGUAGUUGAACCUUGGGCCUGGCUGGCCGGUCCGCCUCACCGCGUGCACUGGUCCGGCCGGGCCUUUCCCUCUGGGGAACCGCAUGCCCUUCACUGGGGGUGUCGGGGAACCAGGACUUUUACUUUGGACAAAUUAUAUCGCUGAAAGAAGGCCUAUGCUCCAAUACAUUAUCAUGGAAUAAUAGAAUAGGACGUGUGGUUCUAUUUUGUUGGUUUUCUAGGACCGCCGUAAUGAUUAAUAGGGACAGUCGGGGGGCAUUCAGUAUUCAAUUGUCAGAGGUGAAAUUCUUGGAUUUAUUGAAGACUAACUACUGCGAAAGCAUUUGCCAAGGAUGUUUUCAUUAAUCAGGAACGAAAGUUAGGGGAUCGAAGACGAUCAGAUACCGUCGUAGUCUUAACCAUAAACUAUGCCGACUAGGGAUCGGACGAUGUUAUUUUUUGACUCGUUCGGCACCUUACACGAAAGUAAAGUUUCUGGGUUCUGGGGGGAGUAUGGUCGCAAGGGUGAAACUUAAAGAAAUUGACGGAAGGG